rnacentral:tRNA from 1 species
UUGCCUGUAGUUCAGUGGAUAGGGCAUCUAUUUCCUAAGUUGAAGGUCGUAGGUUCGACCCCUACCUGGCGUG